GAUGAACGCUGGCGGCGUGCCUAAUACAUGCAAGUCGAGCGAACAGACGAGGAGCUUGCUCCUCUGACGUUAGCGGCGGACGGGUGAGUAACACGUGGAUAACCUACCUAUAAGACUGGGAUAACUUCGGGAAACCGGAGCUAAUACCGGAUAAUAUAUUGAACCGCAUGGUUCAAUAGUGAAAGACGGUUUUGCUGCACCUUAAGAUUGGUUCCGCGCCGCAUUAGCUAGUUGGUAAGGUAACGGCUUACCAAGGCAACGAUGCGUAGCCGACCUGAGAGGGUGAUCGGCCACACUGGAACUGAGACACGGUCCAGACUCCUACGGGAGGCAGCAGUAGGGAAUCUUCCGCAAUGGGCGAAAGCCUGACGGAGCAACGCCGCGUGAGUGAUGAAGGUCUUCGGAUCGUAAAACUCUGUUAUUAGGGAAGAACAAAUGUGUAAGUAACUAUGCACGUCUUGACGGUACCUAAUCAGAAAGCCACGGCUAACUACGUG
rnacentral:rRNA from 1 species